AUGGUUUCGCCCGUCGUGAUCGCGUCGGCGGGACUCGGGAUGCUGGCGGGCGUGGCCAUGGCAAACCGGACGACGGGCGACGGGCUGCCGGCGUCAUCCAGAUGGGACGCGCGGCCCCGUUGCUCGACUUGCAGCGGCACCGGCCAGGAGGAGUGCCUCUGCAGCCGUUGGUCCGACGGCGACGUCGGCUGCGGGACGUGCUCUGGCUCCGGCCGCAAGCGGUGCCGCAGCUGCGGAGGCUCUGGCACCGGCCGGCCGCUCCCGGCGCGACUCAUCGUCCAGGAGCGGAAGCUGCCGACCGCGCCAGCGCGACGCGGAGACUACAACUGA
rnacentral:rRNA from 1 species